rnacentral:rRNA from 1 species
UACAGAGGGGGCAAGCGUUGUUCGGAAUUACUGGGCGUAAAGGGCGCGUAGGCGGCUUGUUAAGUCGGACGUGAAAUCCCCGGGCUCAACCCGGGAACUGCGUCCGAUACUGGCAGGCUUGAAUCCGGGAGAGGGAUGUGGAAUUCCAGGUGUAGCGGUGAAAUGCGUAGAUAUCUGGAGGAACACCGGUGGCGAAGGCGGCAUCCUGGACCGGCAUUGACGCUGAGGCGCGAAAGCCAGGGGAGCAAACGGG